rnacentral:tRNA from 1 species
GCCCUUAGCUAAGUCAGGUCACAGCCCCCGGCUCAUAACCGGGUGAUCGUUGGUUCAAAUCCGGCA